rnacentral:lncRNA from 1 species
AAAAUACAUGUUAUGGGGAUGUUUGUUUCAUAAAUAUAAAUGUUGUUUCAAGUUUUAUUAAAUUAUUCUCGAGUAUUUUUUAUUCCUUCAAAUAUGAUUUAUUUAUGAACUUAUUAAUUUUCAUUCGCAUGUCAAAGGAUGGGAAUCUUGCAUUCCCAUGAGAAUAUAAAAUAAUCAACGAUAAUUUCCUAUAAUCAUGUGAUUUUAACACAAUUAUUUUUUAAUUUUUAAUUUUU